CCUACGGGUGGCAGCAGUGAGGAAUAUUGGUCAAUGGACGAGAGUCUGAACCUGCCAAGUAGCGUGAAGGAUGACUGCCCUAUGGGUUGUAAACUUCUUUUAUAUGGGAAUAAAACGUUCCACGUGUGGGAUUUUGUAUGUACCAUAUGAAUAAGGAUCGGCUAACUCCGUGCCAGCAGCCGCGGUAAUACGGAGGAUCCGAGCGUUAUCCGGAUUUAUUGGGUUUAAAGGGAGCGUAGGUGGAUUGUUAAGUCAGUUGUGAAAGUUUGCGGCUCAACCGUAAAAUUGCAGUUGAAACUGGCAGUCUUGAGUACAGUAGAGGUGGGCGGAAUUCGUGGUGUAGCGGUGAAAUGCUUAGAUAUCACGAAGAACUCCGAUUGCGAAGGCAGUUCACUGGACUGCAACUGACACUGAGGCUCGAAAGUGUGGGUAUCAAACAGGAUUAGAUACCCCAGUAGUC
rnacentral:rRNA from 1 species